AGACGGGACCCGCACAAGCGGUGGAUGAUGUGGAUUAAUUCGAUGCAACGCGAAAACCUUCUACCCUUGACAUGUCCGGAAUCCUGCAGAGAUGCGGGAGUGCCCGAAGGGGAAUCGGAACACAGGUGCUGCAUGGCUGUCGUCAGCUCGUGUCGUGAGAUGUUGGGUUAAGUCCCGCAACGAGCGCAACCCUUAUCAUUAGUUGCUACGCAAGGGCACUCUAAUGAGACUGCCGGUGACAAACCGGAGGAAGGUGGGGAUGACGUCAAGUCCUCAUGGCCCUUAUGGGUAGGGCUUCACACGUCAUACAAUGGUCGGUACAGAGGGUUGCCAAGCCGCGAGGUGGAGCCAAUCCCAGAAAGCCGAUCGUAGUCCGGAUUGUUCUCUGCAACUCGAGAGCAUGAAGUCGGAAUCGCUAGUAAUCGCGGAUCAGCAUGUCGCGGUGAAUACGUUCCCGGGUCUU
rnacentral:rRNA from 1 species